rnacentral:rRNA from 1 species
UGCCCACUGAUUAAUUAAUUGAAGGGCUGCAGUAUAUUGACUGUACAAAGGUAGCAUAAUCAUUAGUCAUUUAAUUGAUGACUUGUAUGAAAGAUUGGAUGAAAUAUAAACUGUUUCUAAUUUAAUUAUAAAAUUUAAUUUUUUUAUUAAAAAGUUAAAAUAAUUUAAAAAGACGAGAAGACCCUAUAGAGUUUAAUAAAUAAUUAAAUUGAGGUUAUUUUUGAAUUUAAAUUUAAAAUUUAAUUAUUUAUUUUGUUGGGGUGAUAAAAAAAUAUACAAAACUUUUUUUUAUAGGUGUAAACAUUUAUAAGUGAUUAAAUGAUCCAGUAUUAUUGAUUAUAAGAAAAAAUUACCUUAGGGAUAACAGCGUAAUUUUUUUUUUUAGUUCAAAUAAGAAAAAGAGUUUGCGACCUCGAUGUUGGAUUAAGAUAAAAUUUAAAUGUAGAAGUU